UUGAGAGGCCGGGUGUGUAAGCGCAGCGAUGCGGUGAGCUAAGCGGUACUAAUGAACCGAGGGGCUUAACCUUACAACGCCGAAGC
rnacentral:rRNA from 1 species